AGGCACUAUUCUAAUUCCAGAGACCCAGCAAUGGCCCGAAUGAAGAGAAGGUAGAGAGCUGAAAAAUAUCUUCAAAUUGGAAUUAACCUGGGUUCAUUCCAAAAGCACUGCUACACAGGAUAACAGAGCCAUGGACUCACACAACUGAAAAACAGAGCAUGAUAGAUGUAUAUUUGUAGCUCCCAAGACUGUGGACAGAAAACCAAUGGACUCAACUGAUGAUCAGAUACCUAAUUACCAUCUACUGAAAUAGUUUUGUCGAACAAGCAAAGUAUCCUGCAAAUAUGACUCUUGAUCCUAGAAAUCACUGAUUUAGAUCAAAUGUAUUGAAGGAAGCCUUCAGAGACAAACACGAGCUCUACUCUUAACUCCCUGACAACCUCUUUGUCUUACUCUAGCCUAAAUGCUUGGGCCAUUUAUGUGCUCAUAACAAUGUACUUCUGCCAUGAGAAAUCAGUGUGUAAUUUUGAUGAUAUUACCAUGUUACAGCCAGGGAAAUGAUGAAUCCCUGAAUUGUACACCAGAGUCACACUUGCCACUCAUUUCUUGAGGGAGAUUAACUAUGUGUAGGAACAAAUGCAAAAGAGAGAAAGAGAUAUCAAUUUGACCUAGCUCCAAAAUAAUAACAUGGUAAACUCUAUAGACAUUGGUAGACUGGGUUGGAAUAUAAGACCCAGAGGUCUGAGACUUAAAGACCUCUUUCGACUGCCUUCGGCCUGGGAAGGAGAAACUAAGAAAAAAAAAGAUGAGAAUUUUUAAGUGCAAAAGGUCCAGGGCCUAUUCCAAUGUGUCAAUAAACAGUAAUGAUAAUAUUAAAAAACAAAAAACAAAAUGAACAAGCGCCUACUCUGUUCCAAUACUGUAUUAAGAGUUAAUAUGAAUCAUCUUC